rnacentral:rRNA from 1 species
GACGAACCGUGCGAACGUUGUUCGGAAUCACUGGGCUUAAAGGGCGCGUAGGCGGGCAAUCAAGUCUGAGGUGAAAUCCUCCAGCUUAACUGGAGAAGUGCCCCGGAUACUGGUUGCCUCGAGGAUGGUAGGGGCAUCUGGAACUAGCGGUGGAGCGGUGAAAUGCGUUGAUAUCGCUAGGAACUCCGGUGGCGAAGGCGAGGUGCUGAACCAUUUCUGACGCUGAGGCGCGAAAGCCAGGGGAGCGAACGGG